GACGAACGCUGGCGGCGUGCCUAAUACAUGCAAGUCGAACGCAGUGGGGACGGGUGAGUAACACGUGGGUAACCUCCCAUCAGAGGGGAUAACACUGGGAAACAGGUGCUAAACCGAUACUGAUGGAUGGACCCGCGGUGCAUUAGCCAGUGGGUGAGGUAACGGCUCACCAAGGCCACGAUGCAUAGCCGGCCUGAGAGGGUGAUCAGCCACACUGGAAAUGAGACACGGCCCAGACUCCGACGGGAGGCAGCAGUGGGGAAUCUUCGGCAAUGGGCGAAAGUCUGACCGAGCAACGCCGCGUGAGUGAAGAAGGUUUUCGGAUCGUAAAGCUCUUUUGUUGGAGAGGCGGUAUCUAACCAGGAAGCCACGGCUAACUACGUGCCAGCAGCCGCGGUAAUAC
rnacentral:rRNA from 1 species